GAGGGAAACAACCCAGACCGCCAGCUAAGGUCCCAAAGUCAUGGUUAAGUGGGAAACGAUGUGGGAAGGCACAGACAGCCAGGAUGUUGGCUUAGAAGCAGCCAUCAUUUAAAGAAAGCGUAAUAGCUCACUGGUCGAGUCGGCCUGCGCGGAAGAUGUAACGGGGCUAAACCAUGCACCGAAGCUGCGGCAGCGACACUAUGUGUUGUUGGGUAGGGGAGCGUUCUGUAAGCCUGCGAAGGUGUGCUGUGAGGCAUGCUGGAGGUAUCAGAAGUGCGAAUGCUGACAUAAGUAACGAUAAAGCGGGUGAAAAGCCCGCUCGCCGGAAGACCAAGGGUUCCUGUCCAACGUUAAUCGGGGCAGGGUGAGUCGACCCCUAAGGCGAGGCCGAAAGGCGUAGUCGAUGGGAAACAGGUUAAUAUUCCUGUACUUGGUGUUACUGCGAAGGGGGGACGGAGAAGGCUAUGUUAGCCGGGCGACGGUUGUCCCGGUUUAAGCAUGUAGGCUGGUUAUCCAGGCAAAUCCGGAUAAUCAAGGCUGAGGUGUGAUGACGAGGCACUACGGUGCUGAAGUAACAAAUGCCCUGCUUCCAGGAAAAGCCUCUAAGCAUCAGGUAACAUCAAAUCGUACCCCAAACCGACACAGGUGGUCAGGUAGAGAAUACCAAGGCGCUUGAGAGAACUCGGGUGAAGGAACUAGGCAAAAUGGUGCCGUAACUUCGGGAGAAGGCACGCUGGUGUGUAGGUGAAGUCCCUGCGGAUGGAGCUGAGACCAGUCGAAGAUACCAGCUGGCUGCAACUGUUUAUUAAAAACACAGCACUGUGCAAACACGAAAGUGGACGUAUACGGUGUGACGCCUGCCCGGUGCCGGAAGGUUAAUUGAUGGGGUUAUCCGUAAGGAGAAGCUCUUGAUCGAAGCCCCGGUAAACGGCGGCCGUAACUAUAACGGUCCUAAGGUAGCGAAAUUCCUUGUCGGGUAAGUUCCGACCUGCACGAAUGGCGUAAUGAUGGCCAAGCUGUCUCCUCCCGAGACGCAGUGAAAUUGAACUCGCUGUCAAACUGCAGGGUACCCGCGGCAAGACGGAAAGACCCCGUGAACCCUUACUAUAGCCUGACACUGAACAAUGAGGCUUGAUGGGUAAGAUAGGUUGGAGGCUUUUAAGCGGUGACGCCAGGCUGGGUGGAGGCAACCUUGAAAUUCCCCCCCUUAAUGGUUGAAUUUCUAACGUUGGCCCCUUUCCGGGGUUGCGGACAGUGUCUGGUGGGUAGUUUGACUGGGGCGGUCUCCUCCCAAAGCGUAACGGAGGAGCACGAAGG
rnacentral:rRNA from 1 species